GCCGAAGUGGCGGAAUUGGCAGACGCGUCGGUCUCAAAAACCGAUGGGGGAAACUUCGUGCCGGUUCGACCCCGGCCUUCGGCACCA
rnacentral:tRNA from 2 species